UACGUAGGGGGCAAGCGUUGUCCGGAUUUACUGGGCGUAAAGCGCGCGUAGGCGGAACGAUCAGUCCGGUCUGAAAGCCCCCGGCUCAACCGGGGAGGGUGGCUGGAAACUGUCGUUCUUGAGGGCGAGAGAGGAGGGUGGAAUUCCUGGUGUAGCGGUGAAAUGCGUAGAGAUCAGGAGGAACACCCGUGGCGAAGGCGGCCCUCUGGCUCGGUACUGACGCUGAGGUGCGAAAGCGUGGGGAGCGAACAGG
rnacentral:rRNA from 1 species